rnacentral:snoRNA from 1 species
GCCUGUGAUGAAACUCUGGAGUAGGAAGUGCCGUCUGACGCGAUAACUGACGAUGCCUCUAGUCCAUUUUUUCUGAGC